UACAGAGGUCUCAAGCGUUGUUCGGAUUCAUUGGGCGUAAAGGGUGCGUAGGCGGGUCUUUAAGUCAGGGGUGAAAUCCUGGAGCUCAACUCCAGAACUGCCUUUGAUACUGAAGAUCUUGAGUUCGGGAGAGGUGAGUGGAACUGCGAGUGUAGAGGUGAAAUUAGUAGAUAUUCGCAAGAACACCAGUGGCGAAGGCGGCUCACUGGCCCGAUACUGACGCUGAGGCACGAAAGCGUGGGGAGCAAACAGG
rnacentral:rRNA from 1 species